AGCAAAACAGAGCCUAGCAGACAAUGUAAUGGAGUGGAUUCUUACACAAAAGCCCUAAAUCACAAGGUUCUCUUUAGGUACUGAAAGGCUGCAAUAAAGUCACCCAAAGACUUCUCUAUUCCAAGCUGCACAAUCCCAAGUCUCUCCUCGUUAGAGAGGUACUCAUUCCUCUGAUGAUAUUACUACAUGUGGGUGAAACUGAUUUGGAGAAAGUAAUGAGAGGUCUUCCUUCAAUGCCAUGAGCCUCCAGGACAUUGGCAUAGGGCUAUAGAGAGACGUGAGCUGUUUAACUACCCCUCAGAAAGACUAUUCUGCCAGGAUAAACC